rnacentral:rRNA from 1 species
AGUGAACGCUGGCGGUAGGCCUAACACAUGCAAGUCGAACGGCAGCACAGUAAGAGCUUGCUCUUACGGGUGGCGAGUGGCGGACGGGUGAGGAAUACAUCGGAAUCUACUUUUUCGUGGGGGAUAACGUAGGGAAACUUACGCUAAUACCGCAUACGACCUACGGGUGAAAGCAGGGGAUCUUCGGACCUUGCGCGAUUGAAUGAGCCGAUGUCGGAUUAGCUAGUUGGCGGGGUAAAGGCCCACCAAGGCGACGAUCCGUAGCUGGUCUGAGAGGAUGAUCAGCCACACUGGAACUGAGACACGGUCCAGACUCCUACGGAGGCAGCAGUGGGGAAUAUUGGACAAUGGGCGCAAGCCUGAUCCAGCCAUACCGCGUGGGUGAAGAAGGCCUUCGGGUUGUAAAGCCCUUUUGUUGGGAAAGAAAAGCAGCAGGUUAAUACCCCGCUGUUCUGACGGUACCCAAAGAGUAAGCACCGGCUAACUUCGUG